rnacentral:lncRNA from 1 species
UUCCCUCUCUAUUUCUGCAGGUUUCUACUGCUUGGAAGGCUCUGAGUUACCUAUACCAUGUCCUGCCAAUACUAUUAGGGAUGUUCCAGGGGCUGGACAGAAGGAAGACUGCCUGCCCUGUCCACCAGGCCACUGGUGCAAAGCAGGAGACUCAGAGGCUUCUCCAUGUCCCUCAGGACACUAUUGCUUUGGAAGUAAUGGCAGUGACCAAGACAGUCUGUUGGCACCUCAGAAAUGCCCUCCACAUACUUACCGCAAGCUCCCAGGAGCUCAGAGCCUGACAGAUUGCCAACCAUGUCCUCCAGGCUAUCACUGCCCUCUAUCAGGUCUGACCAGUUUUGAGGAUUAUCCAUGCCCACUGGGAUACUGGUGUCCUGGUCAAGGGGAUGCUUUCUUUUGUCCACCUGGCACUUCCAGGGUACAUCCUGGUGCAAAAUCAUUGGAAGAAUGUGAUCCCUGCUCAGCUGGCUACUACUGCCCA